rnacentral:piRNA from 1 species
UAGCAAAUGGACACUUUCAAUGGGUGAAGC